rnacentral:rRNA from 2 species
CCGGCGGUGUGCCUAAUACAUGCAAGUCGAACGCGUUGGCCCAAUUGAUUGAUGGUGCUUGCACCUGAUUGAUUUUGGUCGCCAACGAGUGGCGGACGGGUGAGUAACACGUAGGUAACCUGCCCAGAAGCGGGGGACAACAUUUGGAAACAGAUGCUAAUACCGCAUAACAACGUUGUUCGCAUGAACAACGCUUAAAAGAUGGCUUCUCGCUAUCACUUCUGGAUGGACCUGCGGUGCAUUAGCUUGUUGGUGGGGUAAUGGCCUACCAAGGCGAUGAUGCAUAGCCGAGUUGAGAGACUGAUCGGCCACAAUGGGACUGAGACACGGCCCAUACUCCUACGGGAGGCAGCAGUAGGGAAUCUUCCACAAUGGGCGCAAGCCUGAUGGAGC